UACGAAGGGUGCAAGCGUUACUCGGAAUUACUGGGCGUAAAGCGUGCGUAGGCGGUUUGUUAAGUCUGUCGUGAAAGCCCCGGGCUCAACCUGGGAAUGGCGAUGGAUACUGGCGAGCUAGAGUACGGUAGAGGAGAGUGGAAUUCCCGGUGUAGCAGUGAAAUGCGUAGAGAUCGGGAGGAACAUCAGUUGCGAAGGCGGCUCUCUGGACCAGUACUGGCGCUGAGGCACGAAAGCGUGGGGAGCAAACAGG
rnacentral:rRNA from 1 species